AACGAACGCUGGCGGCAUGCCUAACACAUGCAAGUCGAACGGGAUCCGAGCUUCGGUUCGGUGAGAGUGGCGGACGGGUGAGUAACGCGUGGGAACCUGCCCAGUGGUGGGGGAUAACUGCGGGAAACUGCAGCUAAUACCGCAUGAGCCCGAGAGGGGAAAGAUUUAUCGCCAUUGGAGGGGCCCGCGUUCGAUUAGGUAGUUGGUGAGGUAACGGCUCACCAAGCCUUCGAUCGAUAGCUGGUCUGAGAGGAUGAUCAGCCACACUGGGACUGAGAUACGGCCCAGACUCCUACGGGAGGCAGCAGUGGGGGAAUAUUGGACAAUGGGGGGCAACCCUGAUCCAGCAAUGCCGCGUGAGUGAUGAAGGGCCUUCGGGUUGGUUAAAGGUACGUACUUUUGUUCCGGGGUACCGGACGUGGAUG
rnacentral:rRNA from 1 species